rnacentral:lncRNA from 1 species
AGAUACAAAGAGAGAGAGAAAUACCUCAAGUUAGAUCUGUCGUCAACGUCGCAGUCUGCUCUUCGCCGCCUCACGUCACCGUUGCUCGUCGGAUCUGUUCAUCGGCGUCACACAUCAGAUCUGCUUGCCGGUGCUGCUGCUCGUCGCCUUCUCUCGUGGCCGUCGCCGUCGUCCGUCGAUCGAAGGUAAGCAUUGCGGAUGAUGGAUACCCCUGCACUCCACUCUCUCUCUCUACUUUUUUCUGCUAGAACGUG